AUCCAGUUGAUGAGUCCCAACUAGUACGAAAUAUGCAUCCUGGAU
rnacentral:hammerhead_ribozyme from 1 species